GAUAGAGCUUUCCCCUUCGGGGGACAAAGUGACAGGUGGUGCAUGGUUGUCGUCAGCUCGUGUCGUGAGAUGUUGGGUUAAGUCCCGCAACGAGCGCAACCCUUAAGCUUAGUUGCCAUCAUUAAGUUGGGCACUCUAAGUUGACUGCCGGUGACAAACCGGAGGAAGGUGGGGAUGACGUCAAAUCAUCAUGCCCCUUAUGAUUUGGGCUACACACGUGCUACAAUGGACAAUACAAAGGGCAGCGAAACCGCGAGGUCAAGCAAAUCCCAUAAAGUUGUUCUCAGUUCGGAUUGUAGUCUGCAACUCGACUACAUGAAGCUGGAAUCGCUAGUAAUCGUAGAUCAGCAUGCUACGGUGAAUACGUUCCCGGGUCUUGUACACACCGCCCGUCACACCACGAGAGUUUGUAACACCCGAAGCCGGUGGAGUAACCUUUUAGGAGCUAGCCGUCGAAGGUGGGACAAAUGAUUGGGGUGAAGUCGUAACAAGGUAGCCGUAUCGGAAGGUGCGGCUGGAUCACCUCCUUU
rnacentral:rRNA from 1 species